rnacentral:lncRNA from 1 species
CCAGUAGUCCGUGAGGAUAUAGAAUCAUCGCAGGGUCCAAUCGGUAAACCUUCCCUCGAGUACGAUUUUUUUGAGAUUAGGAAUUAUACGAGCAGCAUUCGACGUUACGAACACAAUUACAGGUAUUGACAGCUGAAUUUGGUGGAGAAUCUCAUGUUUAAAGAUAAUUGAUUCUUAAGGAGACCUAACGACACCGAGAGAGAAGAUACAGAAAUAAAGAAUCGAAAGGUGAAUAGAGUUAGGAGAAAGAACAAAGGCAAUAUCUACUUUUCUGAAGCCAAAAUGGUGGUGAAGCGAGAAGUCUAUUUUUUUGUGCGAAGGAUGAAGUCGGGAAAAUAAAUUCGACAGGGAGUGACGGCAUCGAAGAGAGCGUUUUAUGUUUUUCUACACCAAUUAAGAAUUUUAACUUAACUAACCAAGGAUUAAUAUCUCACCUUGGUUAUCCAAGGUGUAGCGUAGUGUCCACCGUCAAGUAAUAAAAAAAUACAAUAUGGCCUGCUACCGAUAGAUGCUCCCCCACUUUCAAUUCAAAUUUGGAAAGAAUCGCCAAAUAUUUUUAAAUCUUAAUUCAUUGUGCCAAGAAAUAAAAUUUUGGAUUUUUUAUGCCAUUAUCCUUUUUUCUUCAAGCAACAAUUUAAUUUAGUCUGCUAGUGAAUGAGGAUUUGGGGUAGCUGCGACACUUCGUCUAUGCCUUAUAACUUCUAAUGCCAACUUACGUUUUAUAUCUAGACUGUGACACUGCCUUUCAAGUGUUGUUUUAUAUCAUAAAUUACACCUAUUGGCAUGCCAAUUGCCGUUUUUUUUUGCAAGCUUUCCAAGUUAUUCAUUUUAGGUACUUCAGUAUGCUCCUACUCUAAGUUAUAGUCAAGUUUUGGCAAUAUUAAGGGUCUAAUUCACUCAUGGUCUCUUUAUGAAAAUUGCUCUCCUAUAUCUUAGCUAAUUCAGUGAUUUCUUUUGUGGCUUUACUUUUAUCUAUAAUCUUACAAAUAUUAUUAUUUGCAUGCUAAUUAUUUUAGUCAUACUAAACUUAUUAAAUUUUCAUUAAGUAAUUUAUUCGACGUGAAAAUCUACUAAUAUGGCUUGAAUUUACACCGCUGCUAUUUGCUAAUUAAAGCCUUAACAUUUAUUAUCCUUGGACCGCACCCGAAGGCUGCCUACGUACCUCCAAUAGAGGAUCAGGCCUACGUAGCUCUUAACAAUAGAUAAUAACAUAAAGUUUAUACUAACAUAAUUUAUUCUAGCUAAUAAUCAACUACAUUAUCACAUUAUAUUUAGAAUCCAGUAAAUAACUAAGGAAACAUAAAUAAUUAUAUUUUCAUAGCUAUAUUUUGCACAAUAUUAUUAAGAAACUAGAUAUCAAUAUUCAAAAUAUGUAUAUAUAUAUAUAUACACACACACAAAUUUAUAUAUAAACAAAAAUCAAUAUAACUCAUCAAUAAUAAUUACUUGUACCGAUUAAAGCGUUUAAAAUCUAACUAUAUCACCAAUAUAAAUAACAACUAAACUUUUAAUAAACAAUAACUAUCUAAACUAACCCCUAAAUCAUACCUACCAUCUUAUAACUAUCACUUAUUUUAUGUGUGUACUCUUCUUGUAUCUUCAAUCUACAUUUACAUAAUGUUUAGCUAAUUAAUCUUUCUUUAAAACCCUUCGAUUUUGUAUUAUGAUAAUUCAAAUUUAUUUCCCUAAAAGGUUAUGACUAUGUUUCGAUAUCAAACAAUCGUUACGCUAAAAAGUGAACAAGAAGAUUGGUCACUGACAUGUUCUAGCCUAUUUCACCUACUCAUGGCUCUCCCUUUUUUCAUUUCUCUUGUAUUAUAAUAUACAUAAAAUGCCUCCUUUUAAUUACAAACAACACAAAAAACAAAUAUGUUUUUCGAGUACAUUGUCGCUAUCAUAGAAUUUUUCUAUACCUUAUUGCUGAUGUCUCUAGUAUUUUAUUUUAAAAGGAUAUAAACUUUUAUUAGAAGUCACUUCAUAGUAAUUAGAAACUUGUCAUGAAACAACUUCAGAUAUAAGGCAUCUACCAUAUCCUAGCAGAUUCUUAAAAGUGAUGCACAAACUUUCCAAUCAAUGCUGCAAUGUACAUAAUGUAAUCUGCAGCUUACAAUACACACAUUUGCAGCAUUGAAUAGGUUAUUGGGAUCACGACUUUAGACUAUCACCCCAAUCUUCUAAUACAUGUUGAAUGUCAAAUAACAUUCUUAGCCAACUUACAAAAACCUAUAGUAGAGUUAUAUCCUGACCUUAACUUGUAACGUAAAAACAUUUGCUUAUACUUGUUCCUUCUCCUUAAUACCUAGAACGGCCUAAACGUUAGUUCUAAUGUAUCUUCAAUCCCCCUUUACAAAAUGUUUAGUUAAUUAAACUUUCUUUAAAACUCUUGAAUCUGUUAUUAUAAUAAUUCAAAUUUAUUUCUCUCGAAGGUUAAGACUAUGUUUCGAUAUCAAACAAUCAUCACAGUAAAAAGUGAACAAGAAGAUUGGUCACUAACAUGUUCUAGCCUAUUUCACCUACUCAUACAUCUCCUUUUUUUCAUUUCUCUUAUAUCAUAAUAUUUAUAAAAUUCCUCUUUUUAAUGAUAAACAAAACAAAAACAAUUAUGAUUUUUGAGUACAUUGUCGCUCUCAUAGAAUUUUUCUAUACCUUAUUGCUAAUAUCUCUAGUAUUUUAUUCUAAAAGGAUAUAAACUUUUAUUUGAAGUCUAUUCAUAGCAGUUAGAAACUUGUCAUGGUACAACUGCAUCACAUAUAAGGCAUCUACUAUAUCCUAGCAGAUUCUUAAAAGUGAUGCACACAAUUUCCACUCAAUGCUACAAUGUCCAUAAUGCAAUCUGCAGCUUACAAUACAAACGUUUGUAGCAACGAAUAGAUUAUCGCGAUCACGACUUUAGACUAUCACCUCUAUCUUCUAACACAUGUUGAAUGUCAAAUAACAUUCUUAGCCAACUUACAAAAGCCUAUAGUAGAGUUAUAUCCAGACCUGAACCUAUAAGGUAUACACAUUUGCUUAUACUUGUUCCUUCUCCUUAACACCUAGAAACGCCUAAACGUUAGCUCUAAUACCACUAACUCCAACAUCCCUAUAAGGUUAUUUAACUAACCGAAAUGGAGAAGCACCGUGGUGCUUCUCUCAUUUUGUCAAUUAACUAUUAUCAUGUAUUUCAUGACAUUUAAUAUAUUUUUGGAUAAUGGCAUAUAAAAUUUAAACCUUUAUGAAUUUUUGCAUUUUAAUUAAAAUGAUUUUACUUGGUACAAUAAGUUAGGAUUUAAAAACAUUUAGCGAUUCAAUUCAAAUUUGAAAUGAAAGUGGGGGAGCAUUUGCCGGUAGCUAACGUGACGUUCCAUCUGCAUUUUUUUAUUACUUAAUGGUGGAUCAUACGCUACACACUGAAUAACCAAUAUGAGAAAUUAACCAUCGGUUAAUGGUAAAAAUCCAAGUUUGGUGUUUAUCUAACCUGACUUAAAGUCGAAUUUCGAAAUUGCUCACGGAAUAGUUCAGCUACGCUUUUUCUAAGCGAAGCAACGCUGCAACCUGCAACAUCUAGAGAGCUAAAAUCUUAGCCGUCUAACAACCUAGGAUCCUUACUUAUCAGCACCACCGCCGAUGCAGUCUAUCUUACACUCCUGAAUUACUGUCAGCAUUGUCUUCAUAUCAAAUCUACCUAUGGACACCAUCGCCACUCCCAUAGUUAAAACUCUCACGAAAUUACAUAAACCAUAAACAUGAAAAUAAGGCAACGAAAAAGAAAGAAAGUUGCAGCUGCCAUCCAGCUCGUGUAAACCGCAUGACUUAGGGCCACCAUGCAUCUGAAAUUUCGAUGAGCCAAAACCACUCCAUUAACUCGACCAGUAGUCCUUGAGGGUAGAGAAUUGUCCCAGGGUCCAAUUGGUAAACCUUCCCUCCUUCCAUUUCUCCACAGUGAGCUAGACUCAUCAUCAGCGAUUCAAACUCGGGAGAGUCGAGUACGAUUGUUUUCAGAUUAGGAAUUGUGUGAGCAGCAUUCGAUGUGACGAACACAAGUAUAGGUUUCGACAGCUGAAUUUGGUGGAGAAUCUCAAGUUUAAAGACACUUGAUUUUUUAGGAGAGGUAACGACACCGAGAGAGAAGAUAUAGAAAUAAAGGACCGAAAGCUGAAUAGAGUUAGGAGAAAGCACGAAGGCAAUAUCUCCUUUUCUGAGGCCAAAAUAGUGGUGAAGCGAGAAGGCCAACUUUUUGUGCGAAGGACGAAGUGGGGAAAAUAAAUUCGGCAGCGAGCGACAAUGUCGAUGAGAGCAUUUUAGGUUUUUCUACACCAUUUAAGAAUUUUACGUUAAUUAACCAACGAUUAAUACCUUGCCUUGGUUAUCCAAGGUGUAGCGUAGAGUCCAGCAUCGAGUAAUAUAAAAAUACAAUAUGGCCUGCUACCGACAAAUGCUCCCCCACUUUCAAUUAAAAUUUGCAAAAAAUUGCCAAAUAUUUUUAAAUCCUAAUUUAUUGUGCCAAAAAAUAAAAUUUUGGAUUUUUAUGCCAUUAUUCUUUAUUUUUUCAAGAAACAAUUUCAUUUAGUCUGCUAGUGAAUGAGGAUUUGGGAUAGGUGCGACACUUCGUCUAUGCCUUAUAACUGAACUACGACACUGCCUUUCAAAUGCCAACUUACGUUUUAUAUCUAGACUGUGACACUGCCUUUCAAUUGCUGUUUUAUAUCACAAAUUGCACCUAUUCGCAUGCCAAUUUUCGUUCCUUUGACAAGCUUUCUAAGUUAUUCAUUUUAGGUACUUGUGUAUGCUUCUAUCCUAAGUUAUAGUCAAGUUUUGGCAAUAUUAAGUGUCUAAUUCACUCAUGAUCUCUUUAUCAAAAUUGUUCUCCUAUAUCAUAGCUAAUUCAAUGAUUUCUUUUGUGGCUUUAUUUUUAUCUAUAAUCUUAUAAAUAUAAUUAUUUGUAUGUUAAUUAUUUUAGUCAUAUUAAACUUAUUAAAUUUCCAAUAAUUAAUUUAUUCAAAAUGAAAAUCUGUUAAUAUGGCUUGAAUUUACAUCGCUACUAUUUGCUAAUUAAAGUCUUAAAAUAUAUUAUAUUUCAACCGCGCCCGAAGGCUGCCUACGUACCUCCAAUAGAGGAUCAGGUCCACGUAGCUCUUAACAAUAGAUAAUAACAUAAAGUUUAUACUAACAUAAUUUAUUCUUGCUAAUAAUCAACCACAAUAUCACACUAUGCUAUACAAAAAUAAUCUUAUUCAUUUAUUCAACAAUCUAUUGGAGGAAUAAGGGUUAUAUCUAGAAACCAGUAAAUAACUAAGGAAACAUAAAUAAUUAUAUUUUCAUAUUUUUAUACCUAUACU